UGGAGCGACUUCCGGCUUCCGGCAGAGUCCGGGGUCGUCGUGCGCAGCCGUCAUGGCAGCCGAGGAGAAAGAUCCUCUGAGCUAUUUCGCGGCAUACGGGAGCAGCAGCUCAGAAUCCUCGGGCGAGGAAGAUAACAGCGAGCCGGAGGAAACGAGUCAGAAGGGCACGGAUCCGGCGAAGUCGGCGGGCGGCUGUGGGAACAAGGCAGAGAAUCGGCUACCCGGACCCGACGAGCUGUUCCGGAGCGUGACUCGCCCAGCCUUUCUCUAUAAUCCGCUCAACAAGCAGAUAGACUGGGAGAGGCACGUCGUCAAAGCGCCUGAGGAGCCUCCAAAGGAAUUCAAAAUAUGGAAGUCAAACUAUGUGCCACCUCCAGAGACCUACACUACUGAGAAGAAACCUCCGCCUCCAGAGUUGGAUAUGGCAAUAAAAUGGUCAAACAUAUAUGAGGACAAUGGUGAUGAUGCCCCACAGAAUGCUAAGAAAGCUAGGCUUCUACCUGAAGGCGAGGAGACAUUAGAAUCAGUCUCUUUCCUUCAUGAACAUGAAUUCAUCAACAGGAUCCUGAUCUUCUGUUUGUUGUGUCAUAGUACAUUUGCAUCAGCACCAUGUGACAGUAAAAAAGCUCAGUAAAGCUGAUGAAUGAGCAUUUUCAGAUGCAGCUCAGUAAAGCUGAUGAAUGAGCAUUUUCCUGCACUGAUUUUUAAGAUGAUGAAAAAGAUGAGCAUACUUCUAAAAAGCGCAAAGUAGAACCAGGAGAACAAGCAAAGAAGAAAAAAUAGACAGCCACAAAUGACAAGAACUUUUGGACUACUAAACGUGUGUUGAAAUGUGUCUUUGGGCAGAUUAAUUUGAUGUUGUGGAUUAUUAUGAUUUGAUGUGGAUUAUUAUGACAAAACAUCUCUGUGAAAGUACAUAUGUUAAUGAACUAAUAAGUAUUGCUUCAAGAACUUUCCACUGUAGAAUUCAUUUUUUAUUUAAAACUUGUAUGUAUUUAAAACUCAAAUGGUGAUCUGUGAUUGUGAAAUUAACAGUACUUGGAAGCAUUCUUGUUAUCACAUAAUUGGUGACAUGCUUUGAGAGUUUUGUCACAUAUUGACAUGCAAGUGUUCUAUGAACCUUUUAUAAAGGAAUAUAUUUUUAAAGUGAAUAUAUUGUAAUGUACUGUGAACUUGUAGGGUGCUUUUCAUCAGUGUUUGUACAGUGUAUAUAGAUCAUGGAAAUAAAAUUACUUAUUCAAUAUUAUCUUACUACAUAAUAUCAACAUUUGAAUAUUUGUUAUAAGUACCUUCCUUGUCUUGUGACAAGGAGGAAUUACCAUUGGGGGAGUACCUCUCAUAUUCCAGGUGCUUUGUAUGUUAUCUCCGAUCCUCAAGCAACCUUGUAAGAAAAGUACUAGUAUCCCAUUUUAUAAUAAGGAGAGCUUGAGUAACAUGUCCAACGUUGCACAGCUAGUGAGUGAUGAAUAUUGAAUUUAACUCAGGACACUUGAACUCCACAAUCAUCACGUUAAACCACCUGUCCGCCAACCAAAAUUUGGUCGUUUUUCAAGACCUACACCAUCUCUUCCAGGUACUCUUCUGUUCUUCCCCUGAGUGUGUGACUACUUAUAGAUAGACCUUAUGUUAUUCAAUUUUUCUAUUAAAAAGUAUAUUGAAAAUAAGGGUCCUCUAGAAAGGGUUAUCAAAUUUAGCAAAGAAAACUACAGGGCACCCAGUUAAAUUUGAAUUUCAAAUACUGGUGAACAGUGUUUUUAAUAGAUGUGAUAUUUGGUUCAUACUAAUAUUAAAAUUGUGUUUGUCUAACCAGGUGCAUUGGCACACACCUGUAAUCCCAGCUAGUUAAGAGCAACUUAGGACCAGCUAGUGGGCAACUUAGGACCUGUCUCUAAAAUGUGAAAAGGGUUGGAGAUGGAGCUCAGUGGUAGAAUGCUUGCCUAGUAUGUAUGAUGCCCUGGGUUUGAUCCCUAGUACCACAAAACAAACAAAAACCUCUGCUUAUCUGAAAUGCAAAUUUAACUUAGCAUCUUGUGUUUUAACUAGCAGUCCUAUUUCUACAUGUUUUCUCUACUCAGCUUCCAUUUUAAUGGUUUGCAUAUAGUAAUACUCAAACCAGGGGUAUUUGGGAAGAUAUAACCUUUGAUUUGAGUAAUACAGUUCAAAAUGCAGUUAUUCAUAACUUUGUAGUGCUGGGGGUUGAAUCCAGUAGUGCUCUACCACUGAGCUACAUCCCCAACCCUUUUUAUUUUUUAUUUUGAGAUAGUCUCACUAAAUUGCUCACGCUAGUCUUGAACUUGUUAUCCUCCUGUUUCAGUCUUUUGAGUCACAGAUUAUAGGCACAUACCACCUUGCCCAGUUUAUUUCUAGUAUUUAGAACAAUAAAAAGUUACACACUGCAUCUGUCAAUUCUUGCACUUUUAAAAGACGAGUUGAUUAUAGGAUACUGCACAGGGUAUAGGAGAAAAUGACAAAAAUCUUCAGUUUUUUCCCCAUACUAGAAGUUCACUUCGUUGGGAAAAUAGGUCAAAUAUAUUAAAAUUUGUAAAAGUCAUUAAAAGUGUUUGUGCCAACCUUAGUGUUUUGUUUUGUUUGUUGAGGAAGGAGCAUAAUGAUAUGUCCCAAAGUUAGGAAAACCAGUUCUGUAGCUGCUCACUUAGGUUUGCAAAUAAGAAUCACAAAAUUGGAGUAAUUGCUAAGACAAGAAUUUUCUUUAAUGAUCAGUCUGUAUAAAGUAGGGAGCAGCAACUGGUAAAGCAUGACCCUAAUGUGACAUCAAACUACAUAUAAAUGAAAGAAUUAUGAGCCUGUGAUUCUCAAGCUCUGGAGAAAUCUUUAGUCCAGGUGCAUGAAUUGGUGGAACAGAUCUAAGAAUUUACUGAAAUGUUGCAAGGUUUUAAAAUUGGCACAAAGGAAGAAGAAGAAGGAAAAGGGUCCAGCAUGACACUGAAAAUUUUUUAAUCUCUUCACUACCCAUUGAUUGGACUCAUCAAUUCGUUUUUUGACAGAUAACAAAAGUGUAUUAGUUCCUUGGUGAUAGUUUGAACUUCUCCAUGAAGUACCAAGUGGGGAAGCAAGUAACACUUUUUUUUUUGGAGAGGGGGAUAUGUUUUAAUUCUUCAGACAGGUGGUAGCUGCACCUGUGGGAUUAUGAAGCAAUGCUGAAAGCUGUACACCUAUGCUAGGAUGGAUUAUGGCUAGUUUUUAUUUUGUGAAAGGAAAUAGAGGACUCAAGAAGAAAGCUAAAUAUUUGGAGCUCUCUGACAACCAUUUGUAUCUCACUGUCUUUCUUUUCAAAACAUGGCUAAAAAAUGGAAAGGGAAAUAAACUUGCUUAUGAAUUGCUU